UUUUGAGUAACUAAUGUUAAGAUAUUCGAAAUUACUAUUCCUACAAUUAUUACUCAAUUUUGAUUUAUCUUUAAGUUAUAAGUUUUUAGACGUUCACGGUCUUGAACACUAAUGAUCGUACGGGACAUGGACGUCGUGGAUAAAUUAUACAUAAACGGUUUAAAAUAGAAGUUAUGUGUUAUCGAUUCAAAAUAUAUAAUUAAUUAUUUCUUCAACAUGUGAUAUUUUGUAUUCGUCCGCAGUCAUCAGUGACUUGUUCUUUUAGUUCCGUUUUCAGAGAGAAAUAAAAAUUAUCGAAAUACAGAUAAGGAGCCGUCCAUAUUGUACGUCACAGUAAAAGAUUCGGUAAAAGAUGUCACAAUUUUUGCAAUCUUGAAAAUGUAACGUCACGAAAGUUCGACUCUCUGAAAAAAUAUUAAAGACAAACUGUAAUGGCUUGCUAAGUUACGUUCCUUUCGAUUUAUCCUUCACUUUUGUCACGUUUUGUGACAAGUGUGACUGCCCCCUCUCCCUCCAUCCGAAUAUGUUAUGAUCAACAUUUUCUAAAAAAAAUAUCUGUGAUAAUUUGCUGUCACGUAAGAAACGUUAUGUCACAUCAAGUGUGACUAGAGUGCGGAUGUAUGUUAUGGACGGCUUCUGAGAACAAAAUAUACAGGUAUGUACUCCAUAGUCACUGAACAAUUUAAACUCAGUGUUGCCAAAAGUAUUAAAAAACCAACGACUCAAAAUGAAACUUUAAAGUAUGAUACCAGUUUGCUAUUGUAAAUAUUAUUAAUAAAAUAAUAAUAUAUUUUGUACAUGUCCUAAGCGAGAGUCAAACUUAGGAGAGCGUAUUAUGAUAUGUACACAAAACAACAGAUUGUAAAUGAAGGAGGAAAUACUUAAACUUCCAAUAUAAUGCGAUUAGUACAAUAUUCCAUCUUUAUUAAAUCUAUUUCUUAAAUAAAUGUUCGUGAAUGUAAAUUUGAUUCGCUUUUCUAGAACGUUCUCGCUGAGGAACCUCUUUAGCGUCACAGAUAUGCGUAUUGUAUCUGUGGUGUCGAGGAACAGGAGAUAAGUUAAUAUGUAAAGUUCAAUUAAUAAUUAAAACUGAAAAAUUAGAUCUUUGCAAAUAUUGAUUCAAAAUAUUACUUAAUAUGUGUUAUGCCAAAAAGUUAAUUCACUAGUAUAUUGAACAUUGCGUACAUUACAGUUUUCUAUCAAAUCACACGAGUUUCUUUGUUAUUAAUUGCCCGUUGUGAAAAGUUCAAAUAUAUGUUCAAAAAUA